AGUAGAGCAGCGUCUGUUGUCGCGACUUGCCAGAGGGUGGAGGAACCGCAUGGUAUCCAUCACAGGAAGUGGAAUAGAAUCAUGGCCAUUAUUGUGGUUUGCCAGGGAGUGAUGGAGCCGCGCAGAAUCCAUCGCAGGAAGUGGAGCAGAGUCGUGGCUGUUACUGCGGCCUGCCAGCAAGUGAUGGAGCCGCGUGGAAUCUGUUGCAGGAAGUGGAGCAGAGUCGUGGCUGUUACUACGGCCUGCCAGGG
rnacentral:lncRNA from 1 species